UGGCCCGUAGCUCAACGGUGAGAGCGCUGGCCUUAUAAGCCAGUGAUGCAGGUUCGAUUCCUGCCGGGCCUACCA
rnacentral:tRNA from 1 species